rnacentral:rRNA from 1 species
CAGUAGCCGCGGUAAUACGGAGGGGGCUAGCGUUGUUCGGAAUUACUGGGCGUAAAGCGCACGUAGGCGGAUAUUUAAGUCAGGGGUGAAAUCCCGCAGCUCAGCUGCGGAACUGCCUUUGAUACUGGGUAUCUUGAGUAUGGAAGAGGUUAGUGGAAUUGCGAGUGUAGAGGUGAAAUUCGUAGAUAUUCGCAGGAACACCAGUGGCGAAGGCGGCUAACUGGUCCAUAACUGACGCUGAGGUGCGAAAGCGUGGGGAGCAAACAGGAUUAGAUACCCGUGUAGUCCCUGUCUCUUAUAC